AUGGCAUCACUCAAAGCUGAGAAACCUAGUGAUAAAUCUGGCAUCUCUCAGCCAUCAGGGCAGGUUAAGAAAGAGCCUGCUGCAAAAACUAGUGGAACCACUCCCAGAACUAGAGCCUCCAAAGCAGCAGCAGCACCAAAGAAAACUGAGCAGAAACCUCAGCCUAAGAAGAAGGCUAGCAGCAGUAAGCAGAAGAUAUCAAGUGAAGUUUAG